rnacentral:rRNA from 1 species
AUUGAACGCUGGCGGCAGGCCUAACACAUGCAAGUCGGGCGCGCGGCGGACGGGUGAGUAAUGUAUGUGGAUCUGCCUGUUUGAGGGGGAUCACUACUGGAAACGUUAGCUCAUUCCGCAUACCCUCAGAUGAACCCAUAUGGGAUUAGCUUGUAGGUAAGGUAACGGCUUACCUAGGCGACGAUCCCUAGCUGGUCUGAGAGGAUGAUCAGCCACACUGGGACUGAGACACGGCCCAGACUCCUACGGGAGGCAGCAGUGGGGAAUAUUGCACAAUGGGCGCAAGCCUGAGACAGCCAUGCCGCGUGUAUGAAGAAGGCCUUCGGGUUGUAAAGUACUUUCAGUCGGGAGGCGUUACCGACAGAAGAAGCACCGGCUAACUCCGUGCCAGCAGCCGCGGUAAUUC